UACGUAGGGGGGCUAGCGUUGUCCGGAAUCAUUGGGCGUAAAGCGCGUGUAGGCGGUCCGGUAAGUCCGCUGUGAAAGUCGGGGGGCUCAACCCUCGGAUGCCGGUGGAUACUGUCGGGCUUGAGUACGGAAGAGGCGAGUGGAAUUCCUGGUGUAGCGGUGAAAUGCGCAGAUAUCAGGAGGAACACCAAUUGCGAAGGCAGCUCGCUGGGACGUAACUGACGCUGAGACGCGAAAGCGUGGGGAGCGAAACAGG
rnacentral:rRNA from 1 species